ensembl:lncRNA
GUUGCUAUAUAUUACCACUAGAUGGUGCCCGAAGACAAGAAAUAAAGCCUUUUGCGGCAUCUCCAGCGAGACUGCUACUCUCUAUUUUACCACGAGGUGGAGCCAGAGGAUAAGAGAUAAAGCCUUUCUGUCCGUCUGAAACAAAAAAGAACCCUAAAUACUCCAAUGGAAGACUUGGCAGUGAGUAUAAACAGAGUCCUCAAAAGAACUACGAAAGGGAGAGGCGGGAAUUCUCCAGCGGUUCAGUGGUCAAGACUCUGACCCCCAGCACAAGGUUGAGGGACUAAGGUCCCACAAAGUGCAAAGCGCGACCCAGACAGGGAAACGAGAGGAAAAAGAAGCUGUGGAGAGAGCGGAGUGAUGGGAUAAAGGUGCGGGUGGAGAGAAAAGGAAGAGCGCUUCAACUCUGGAAGUUCUGCUGGACAUUCAUGCAGCCUAAAGGCAGGCUGAGGACAUGGGAGGCAAGAACCAUAGGGUUCUCCUCCACUUCAUAUGAAGGAUAGGAAAAAGCCCAGAUGGGAGAAUGCUGGUAAGCCGAUUUGCCCAAUAAUCCGUGGUGCUUGGAACAAAGAGAUCAUUAAGGUAAGAAGAAAACGUUGGCAUGUAAAAGAGAAAAGUCAGGGACAAGACUGUGAAGUCAUUGAACGAAGAGGCUAGAUUUUUGUUCCAGUAAACGUUCAGAACUGCCUCUUACAAAUGGUAAGUUGUCUAGAUCUGCAAAUAACUGCUCUAAGGACAUGUUUAGAGACCCGAUCCUAGGCCUCCUCUUCUCCCUGGCUAUAAAACUCAGGUUUAAUUGGUUAGUUGACUUCAUUCUGCAUGAUCAUGACUUGAUAAGUAAAAUUAAAUGCCACAGGAAAGAAAACUCAGAAGCAGAUAUAGAAAUCCCCCUUGGCUUACCUAACUUCAGCAGCAUGACUGGGUAACAUUAGUUAUCCACCUUUUAAGCCAUCCUUCAUCACCCGCCCCUCCUAACAGCCCCC